rnacentral:rRNA from 1 species
CUAGAGUUUGAUCCUGGCUCAGGACGAACGCUGGCGGCGUGCCUAAUACAUGCAAGUCGAGCGGACAGAUGGGAGCUUGCUCCCUGAUGUUAGCGGCGGACGGGUGAGUAACACGUGGGUAACCUGCCUGUAAGACUGGGAUAACUCCGGGAAACCGGGGCUAAUACCGGAUGCUUGUUUGAACCGCAUGGUUCAAACAUAAAAGGUGGCUUCGGCUACCACUUACAGAUGGACCCGCGGCGCAUUAGCUAGUUGGUGAGGUAAUGGCUCACCAAGGCGACGAUGCGUAGCCGACCUGAGAGGGUGAUCGGCCACACUGGGACUGAGACACGGCCCAGACUCCUACGGGAGGCAGCAGUAGGGAAUCUUCCGCAAUGGACGAAAGUCUGACGGAGCAACGCCGCGUGAGUGAUGAAGGUUUUCGGAUCGUAAAGCUCUGUUGUUAGGGAAGAACAAGUACCGUUCGAAUAGGGCGGUACCUUGACGGUACCUAACCAGAAAGCCACGGCUAACUACGUGCCAGCAGCCGCGGUAAUACGUAGGUGGCAAGCGUUGUCCGGAAUUAUUGGGCGUAAAGGGCUCGCAGGCGGUUUCUUAAGUCUGAUGUGAAAGCCCCCGGCUCAACCGGGGAGGGUCAUUGGAAACUGGGGAACUUGAGUGCAGAAGAGGAGAGUGGAAUUCCACGUGUAGCGGUGAAAUGCGUAGAGAUGUGGAGGAACACCAGUGGCGAAGGCGACUCUCUGGUCUGUAACUGACGCUGAGGAGCGAAAGCGUGGGGAGCGAACAGGAUUAGAUACCCUGGUAGUCCACGCCGUAAACGAUGAGUGCUAAGUGUUAGGGGGUUUCCGCCCCUUAGUGCUGCAGCUAACGCAUAAGCAUCCCGCU